rnacentral:rRNA from 1 species
UACGAAGGGGGCUAGCGUUGCUCGGAAUUACUGGGCGUAAAGCGCACGUAGGCGGAUCUUUAAGUCAGGGGUGAAAUCCUGGAGCUCAACUCCAGAACUGCCUUUGAUACUGGGGAUCUCGAGUCCGGGAGAGGUGAGUGGAACUGCGAGUGUAGAGGUGAAAUUCGUAGAUAUUCGCAAGAACACCAGUGGCGAAGGCGGCUCACUGGCCCGGUACUGACGCUGAGGUGCGAAAGCGUGGGGAGCAAACAGG